GAUGAAAAACGUAGCGAAAUGCGAUACGUAAUGUGAAUUGCAGAAUUCAGUGAAUCAUCGAAUCUUUGAACGCAUAUUGCGCUCUCUGGUAUUCCGGAGAGCAUGCUUGUUUGAGUAUCAGUAAACACCUCAACUUCCAUAUCUUUUUUGAAAUGGGAGUUGGACUUGAGUGAUCCCAACGCUUUUCCUCACCGAAAAGUGGCGGGUUACUUGAAAUGCAGGUGCAGCUGGACUUUUCUCUGAGCUAUAAGCAUAUCUAUUUAGUCUGCCUAAAAACAGAUUAUUACCUUUGCUGCAGCUAACAUAAAGGAGAUUAGUUCUUGUGCUGACUGAUGCAGGAUUCACAAAGACAGGCUUCGGCCGACUUUGUAAACUCGAUCUCAAAUCAAGUAAGACUACCCGCUGAACUUAAGCAUAUCAAUAAGCGGAGGA
rnacentral:misc_RNA from 1 species